UAGGAGGGGAGAGACAUAGAAUUCCUUCGCUAGUAUGAUCUACCUAAGUUUAUUUGAUAUUUAAUUGGUCGGUCAGAGUAUAGGGAUAAUAUGUGAUAUGUUAAUUAACUCUUGUUUUGUGGCAGUAUUUGAAAAUGACAUCCGAAAAUGUUGAGAUAAACAAUGAAGCACAUGAGACUCUUGAGUCACCACAAAUUAAUGUCCAGGAUAAUGUUCAACAGGAAGACAAUAAUCCUCAUAAACAAUAACACCGAUGAAAUGGUGAACGAUGGGAUGUUCAGAGGUUUUAUGCAAUUCAUGCAACAUCAGGCGAAAGCGGCUCCUGUCCAAAAUGCAGGUGGAAACACUGACAACUCUCGGACGGUCACCGCUAAGCAGUUCAAGGAGUUGG
rnacentral:lncRNA from 1 species